GUCAAAGCAUUAAAAACUGGAGCGUAAAUAGUUAGAGAAUCAUUUAAUGCUUAGUCAAAGCACAAACCAUUUUUCUGUUAUGGUAUCAAAACAAACAAUCGGUUGUUUCCACAAAUCAAUCGGUUGUUUUGGUUUUGACAGCUCAACCAUUUGAAAAACAAUUUUCAACCUUUUCUAAAAACACCUAAGUAUAAAACAAUCG
rnacentral:lncRNA from 1 species